AAAAAAGCAGGGAUUCUUCGCCAUUUGUGGAUGAAUCUCUCGUAAACUUCAGGUAUAAAAAAUGCAUUGUUAUUGGGUGAACCCUGGAGUUAAGACUUCUAUGAUAGAUGGUUCAGUAAACGGUGCAAUAUUU
rnacentral:snoRNA from 1 species